UUUAGGAUACAAUUAUAAAUUCUUUCCUGUAUUUAAGAAAUCUGGAAUCUGUGAAAGUUGGGUGAAAACCAUUAGUGAGGAACACAGAAUAAAAAUUCACUCUGUACACAGUGUAUUUUAUAACAUGAAGUGUAGAUGGAGUUCACCUACUGAAAAUAUACAUCUCUGUGGCCAAGUCUUACUUAAAAUGGAUGCUAGCUCGUGUUCCAGGCUGGAAGUUUUCUGCAGUCAGCUACAGAUGUGAUAGGAUUUGCUUUUACAUAAUUAUUUUGUCAUAUCUGUAAGCAUCCCUCACUUAAACAACUUGAGAGGUGUUAAGGGUGUGUGUAGAUGCAUGAGUUAUCCUCUGAACUCAUUUCCCAUCUGUAUGAGAACAGUUAGGUCACAGUCUGAACCAGUGAUUGAGCUCCUGGUGAAAUGGGGGUAGCCAGCCCUAGGAGGACAGGUGGAAGCAAUUCACCUGUGUGACCAGGAGUGGACCACUCCCUAACCUUACUUAAGGGUUGGCAGGCACAAGGUUAUUUCUUUUUCAGUGUUUGGUGAGUCCUAAUCCUCAUGAUGGGGACUAAAGCUUUUAUGGCAACUGGGAGCUGCUAUACUUGGUGGUGAGCAGUUAAACAUCACAUCCCAUGGGAACUAAAGUCAGGAACAUGAAUAUACCUGUGAAGCUGACUCCCUGAGAGUGCUCCUGAAAGUGUUCCCUGAUGGAAGUUUCAGAACGUAGCUUUCUUGCAGGGCAGAUGAAGAGCUAGCCCCAUCGAGGCUGACAGAGCAGAGCUUCACAAGAUUAAACAAGAGAGGUCCCUUGUCUUCUGGAAGAUGUUGAGAUGUAUGCAGUUAAGCCAUGACUGUCACAAGAAACGCAUCACAGUAGGAAGUUGCAAAUUCUUUGGUAAAGGAUUUUAUAGGAUUCACAGUCAUACUUCCAUUCAGCGAAAAGGGAAGUGGUGGAAAGAAAGGAAGCCUCAGCUUGAGUGACGGUAUCAUGAGACAGCAUCAAGAAAGAGAGAAUUGCGCAGCACUGGUGAUGUGCUGUCAUGGUCACUGUUGUGAGUGUCAAAGAGAGGAGAAACAACAGGCUAUGAGAAGUGCAGUGCAAGCCAUGGAACCUGUGGGUGCAAAAGUGUACAAAAUACGGUUUCUUAGUGUGGAUUUUGGAAUCUAGCGUUAUCUGUUCUUGACAUGUCUGCAUCAUGGACUCCUGGUACUUGGCUGGCAGAGAUCUACCCACCUCAACACUCUACCAAAUGGCAAGUUCUCCCAAGUCCUUCUUAAGUGUCCCAAAUACAGAGAUAUAAACAGCAGAUACAUAAACAGGACUAGCGGUUUCAUGACAGGAAUUAAACGCACAAGACUGCAUCACUUUCCUAUGGGACACUCAUGAGUGAUAGAUCUCAAUGUUGGUAAGAUUUUCAUUAAUAAUCUACAUUGUUUGUUGUUUUAUAUGAUACCUGUAAUUUAAAUACUCCUUUAGACCUCCAUAUUUAUACCUUUUCUUCUUCAGUGUUUCUGUGCCUGAGUAACUAUGAACAAUUGUGAAUUCUUUGGGUUUUCUCCUAGUUAAAAUUCUAGUGAAUUCUUUCUCUAUGUGAGGAAUGCUAUGUGAAGCAGUGGAAAAUGAAGGAGAAAAAAAAAAGGGCUGUUCCCUACUGAAAAAGACAAGUUAUUUUAAGUUGCAAGGAAAACAUAAUUAUAGGUAAUUACCACAGAUUACAUUUUCUACAUACAUGCACUAAUUAAAUCACCUAUUAGAUGAUUAUUUUUUUAAUAGAUUUUUACUGUCUAUUUGGCUUUGCCAAAUAAAUCAAGUACGUAAUAAAUGAAAAAGGACAGCAUCUAUCAAAAUUAUCCUCAUAAAUGUUUAAGUUUUGAUAAACAUAGCAAAAAUAUUCCCGAAGUAUUGAGAGAGAAGCGUAGUAGUCUUUAUCCAUCUCCAGUCAAUUGUGAAGCCAACUCGAUAAACACGGAAGUUUUAGUUCCCAAUAUAUUCUAUUAUUUCCAUCAAGAUCAAAAGGCCAACAGAAAGCAGUUCACAUAGUUCCCAAGUCAGUUUAGAUCAGCUGAUAACUGCUAUACAAAGGGUGCAUGAAAAGGAAAAACUAGAGAAGAAAGCAAUAGUUUUUGCUGGUUAUAUGUGGAAUCACUAUUAUCUUAUUUAAAAGAUGUAGGAGCAAUAACAAAAAACAAUGCUAAAUAAAAUACAUAUCAAACUAAAUCAGCAAAGCUGCAGGGAAAGCAGUAUUGCUUCUUUAAGAGACUUUCACAGUAUGAUGCUAUUUAAGAUAAUAGGAUGGACACACCCAUUAUCUUAUAAACUUCCCUCUCAAUUUUUAGAAAAUCCAUAGGCAUGUAAUGUCUCAACUAAAACAUUUUUAAGCAAUAGGAAUUCCUUGAGAUAAACGUCCUCUUUAUAUACCAGCAUCCCAUCACUGAUGCACAUUUUUUAUUCUCUCCUUUGACUUGCUUGGUGAUUGGUUCAGUGUCUUAAAACAAUGGUACUUACUUUUGUAGUCAUCUUGGGAAAGAAAAAUAAUUUUAUUCAUCUAGCAACUCUUUCUUCUUAAAAGAACACUUCUUAGAACAAAAAGGAAAAAAAGAGCCUUCUCCCCUACCUCAAUGACCCUCCAAAGCUUCCAUAAUGUUAUACAUUCUUUUUACUGAGUCUGCAGAUCCGUGUCACUCUGACACUUUGUAUCUAUAUUACUUUCUUAUAUACCAAUCAUUUUAGUCUUUUUUUGGGGCUUCAGUUGCUUUUGGAUUAAAUCCCUAAUUUCUCACUUCAAAAAAGUAACAGUAAUGAUUUCUCCUAUCUGGCUAAUGAGAAUUUAGCACAGUCACCAUGUGAGAUAUCAUAUCCUUGUUGUCCUGUUUCUGCCAAAAAAAAUUAUCAUAAUAAAUGCAGUAGACUAAGGAGCUUCUUUCUAUGUUGGUGUACCUAUCAGCUGUUCAUUUUGAUGUCAUGGUUUUACGAUUUUUGGUUAUCGGUAUUCCAUAUCAUAACAUCAUGUAGUGCACUGGGAGUUAAAGAGUUA